rnacentral:tRNA from 1 species
GGACGUAUGGUGUAAUGGUUAGCACAUUGGACUUUGAAUCCAAUAAUCCGAGUUCAAUUCUCGGUAUGUCCU